UCAUCUUCAAUGACGUCACAGGUGAACCCUUUUAAUCAAACCUUUCAAUGAUAUGAACUUAACAGAAGUGACACAGAUUGCCAAUAUAACUCAACAGUGAUGUGAAUGUAUAUUUUGAAGAACUAAAUAUGAGAAUGUUAGGUUAUUUAUUUCUCGUAUUUGUAUUCCACAGGAAUCUCAGAGAACACUCGAAGCACCAAUUACUACAAGGCAAUUAUAAACAAGAACUGAUUGAUGGUUACAAAAACUUAGAAUUUAACGGAUCUCAUGGAAGCACUAUUUCAAAAAUGUCAUAACAAUAAAUAAAUAAACAUCGAAGUUGUA